GUUUUCUCUAAAACGAAGUUUCUUUUUUUUUUUUAGAAAAGACAUAAUGCAAUAAACUUUGAGACUAAUUUUACCGAAGACAGAUACAUUUAUCUUUUAGACAAUUAAAAACUCAUGAAUGUACAACGUGAAAUAAAGUACAGUAUGUCGUGUAUGUGCAACAUGAAGCGUAAAAUAGUUCGAAAUUUUAUGAAAACUAAAAAUAUAUAGUACAGUAACGUUGUAAGAUAUUCAAAUGGAUUUUUAUUUGAUUUCAAUUAUAAUACUUGAUGCCGCUAUUAUAGUACGAUACUAAAUCGUUUGUUGUUUUGAUAAAGAAACAAAUUGAAGGAGAAAAAUGUUUUUAGCUGUCGAGAUAAUGUCGCAAUAGACGAAAACCGAUAAGCGACUAUUAUUAUUGUUAUUAUUAUUGUUUCCAUAUCUAUACUUUAUUUGAAUGCGGUCAGCAAUAAACCUUACGAAUUAAAGAUAUCAGAAGAUCAGCCAUUGUUCUAAUUUUUCUGCUAUAUACAUAAACCUACUUUAUUUGUAGAUUUGGCAGAUUUACGGCACUAUUGUAUAGUGGCAUAAAAAUACACGUAAUAAUAUUUUAUUAGAUUGCAAGAGCGAGGUAAGUUAUAAACAUUCGUUAAGGAAAUUGAUAAAUCUGUAGGAAUAAAACGACGCGAUGAAAAACAUCGUGUAAUUUAGGGUUUACUUUAAAAGUUGCGCUGGCAAUAUUUGGAAAAAAAAAAAAAAAAGAAAAUGAGACAAAGAAUCGCUUUAAAAAUUGGAAAGCGAACCGAUCAUAAAUAUCACACGUCGAAACAAUUCGUUUUGACAAUUUUAGAACGGUUGAGUAAUUUAAUUAACGAUACCGACAGACUUAUAUUGGAGUUUGUUUGGAAGAUUGGACGUGUAAUAUUAAAAAUAAGAUUUCUUGAAAUAAACUGGAAAGUGAAUCGAUGACAAAUACUAUAUAAUUUAGAGAAAUUUAUUUCGUUGAUGUUCCGACAAUGGAAUAAGAUUAUUAUCAGCAUCGUGAGAUUUAUAGAUAUUCGUUUCUUUCGUAUUAUUAUAGUAUCCGAUAUAUGGAAACCAGUUUCAGGAAUUAUUUUACAGAGAUAUUGUUAUUUUUAUCGAAACGGAGGAAGUUAAUUGACAGCGGCAGCGCGCGGUUUAUAGAUAUCCAGCCAGAAAGUUAAAAACGACGUUGGAACAGAAUUUACUCAUUAUGAGAUCGUGUAGAUUCUAUAUAGUUUAAAGGAAUUCGUUUCACAAAUAAUCUUAGAAAAGCUGUUAACUUUAUCGGUAUAGAAUGUGUUAAUUAACCAUAUCUAACAGUAUAUGUAUGAUGAAGAGGAUAACAGCAAGAUAUAAUAAGAUAUCCAUCAAGAAAGAUUCAAGAUAAUUUAAGAACAGAAUCGUUUCAUCUUAAUGCUAUAUAGCUGCGAAGAAUUAGUUUAAAGAAUUACUUUUGACGAAUUGUAAAUAUUGUUAGACAUAAUCCAGCUAAACGAAGCUCCAUUUAAUUUGUCGAAUCCUGCUUCAGAGAUCGAAGUUUACGCAAUUGAAUUAAAUUAUAUCUGAAAGAUUAUUAUCUCAGUUAGACGUGAUAAAAGAUUGUUACAAUAAAUACACUCUUAUUGUUAAUUUAUAGUAUCACACGUGUCAGUUUACGAAUAUUUUCAAGUCUCACGGCACGACUUUAUAUCUGUUGGCUGAUCUUACGGGAGGACAGGAGAGAGAAUUUUCUGUUGCCAAGUGUUAUGAAGUGGAAUGAAGAGAUACAGCAGGAACAAGUGUUAAUUGGAACGAUCAAAUUUUAAUAGAAGCAAAAUCUGAUAAACAAGAUGCAUAUCUACAGAAAGCAACGAACCUCGCAGCCAGGUUAUCGACCAUCGCCAACGUCCUAUUCCAAUUUCUACAGUAAAUGUAAGAACUACCUGAUUUCCUCGUCUCAUCGAUUAUUUCAUCCUUCCGGCAAGCCGGUAAAAAUACCAACGAUUCCUAUUAAAAAGUCAAGAAGGAAACAAGAUCUUUCGAAACGGAGUCAUGCGAGAUCAGAAGAAAGCCAAAAGCCAAUUUAGCAAUUAUCCUCAAAGUGCUCAUCCCAUAGCCAUGCUCUUACGAAAUCCGGAGAUUUCUCGUCUCGCUAAAUUAACCAUUUCUCAGACGCCUGAUUGGCCGUAGUCUAAACCAGCGUAGAAACAAUUUUCUAUUCCCAGAGGUAGCUGCGAGGCAAGAUAAAAGAGGCGCAACAAGAGAAGCGGAAGGAAGAGCAGAAGUACAGAAUGGGGUCUAUUACUUAUACAGUUCAUAAGCUGCUUAGAAGGCCGCCUGCAGUGAGAUCCAGAGAAUUGCGAGAAGAGCGUGCACAGAAAGCGAGAAGCUCGCGCUCGUUGUCGCGAUUAUAAUAAUGAUCGAGCGAUCGUGACACGUUGCAUGUGUUCCGUGGAAAUUUGUGGAAACAAACGAGUAACUGGCAAAUUUAUGCGUGGAUGUGUGCACGUGCUUGUGCUCGACACACGAGAGAAUAGUCUAACGAGAACGUAGCUGGGAAAACGAUGCGAGCAGACAGCAGCAGCCAAUGGAAUGCAAGUUUCGCGCAGCAGCCAGCAACCAGCCACAGCCGGUGGGAUGCACGAAGUUUGAUGAGUACUCGCCUCGAGGACUCGGCUUCAGGCUCCAGCCAAGUCU